rnacentral:rRNA from 1 species
GACGAACGCUGGCGGCGUGCUUAACACAUGCAAGUCGAGCGGAAAGGCCCUUCGGGGUACUCGAGCGGCGAACGGGUGCGUAACACGUGAGUAACCUGCCCCAGACUUUGGGAUAACCCUCGGAAACGGGGGCUAAUACUGGAUACGACACAGCUUCGCAUGGGGUCUGUGUGGAAAGUUUUUCGGUUUGGGAUGGGCUCGCGGCCUAUCAGCUUGUUGGUGGGGUGGUGGCCUACCAAGGCGACGACGGGUAGCCGGCCUGAGAGGGCGACCGGCCACACUGGGACUGAGACACGGCCCAGACUCCUACGGGAGGCAGCAGUGGGGAAUAUUGCACAAUGGGCGGAAGCCUGAUGCAGCGACGCCGCGUGAGGGAUGACGGCCUUCGGGUUGUAAACCUCUUUCAGCAGGGACGAAGCGUAAGUGACGGUACCUGCAGAAGAAGCGCCGGCCAACUACGUG